rnacentral:rRNA from 1 species
GGAAGUAAAAGUCGUAACAAGGUCUCCGUUGGUGAACCAGCGGAGGGAUCAUUACUGAGUUUACGCUCUAUAACCCUUUGUGAACAUACCUAUAACUGUUGCUUCGGCGGGUAGGGUCUCCGUGACCCUCCCGGCCUCCCGCCCCCGGGCGGGUCGGCGCCCGCCGGAGGAUAACCAAACUCUGAUUUAACGACGUUUCUUCUGAGUGGUACAAGCAAAUAAUCAAAACUUUUAACAACGGAUCUCUUGGUUCUGGCAUCGAUGAAGAACGCAGCGAAAUGCGAUAAGUAAUGUGAAUUGCAGAAUUCAGUGAAUCAUCGAAUCUUUGAACGCACAUUGCGCCCGCCAGCAUUCUGGCGGGCAUGCCUGUUCGAGCGUCAUUUCAACCCUCAAGCUCUGCUUGGUGUUGGGGCCCUACAGCUGAUGUAGGCCCUCAAAGGUAGUGGCGGACCCUCCCGGAGCCUCCUUUGCGUAGUAACUUUACGUCUCGCACUGGGAUCCGGAGGGACUCUUGCCGUAAAACCCCCAAUUCUCCAAAGGUUGACCUCGGAUCAGGUAGGAAUACCCGCUGAACUUAAGCAUAUCAAUA